rnacentral:rRNA from 1 species
GACGUAGGGCGCGAGCGUUGUCCGGAUUUAUUGGGCGUAAAGAGCUCGUAGGCGGUCUGUCGCGUCGGCUGUGAAAAACCUGAGGCUCAACCUCGGGCCUGCAGUCGAUACGGGCAGACUAGAGUUCGGUAGGGGAGACUGGAAUUCCUGGUGUAGCGGUGAAAUGCGCAGAUAUCAGGAAGAACACCCGUGGCGAAGGCGGGUUGCUGGGCUGAUGACUGACGCUGGAGGCGCGAAAGCCAGGGGAGCGAACGGG